UACGUAGGGUGCAAGCGUUGUCCGGAAUUAUUGGGCGUAAAGAGCUCGUAGGCGGUUUGUCGCGUCUGCUGUGAAAUCCCGAGGCUCAACCUCGGGCCUGCAGUGGGUACGGGCAGACUAGAGUGCGGUAGGGGAGAUUGGAAUUCCUGGUGUAGCGGUGAAAUGCGCAGAUAUCAGGUGGAACACCGGUGGCGAAGGCGGCACUCUGGGCCAGUACUGACGCUCAUGGACGAAAGCGUGGGGAGCAAACAGG
rnacentral:rRNA from 1 species